rnacentral:tRNA from 1 species
GGAGGGGUGGUAGCUGUUGGUAGGCUGCACCGGGCUGUAAACCCGGACACCGUAAAAAGUGCAUCGGGGGUUCAAUUCCCUUUCCCUCCACCA